GGGGACUUAGCUCAGUGGUAGAGCGCUUGCCUAGCAAGCACAAAGCCCUGGGUUCAGUCCCCA
rnacentral:tRNA from 1 species